rnacentral:misc_RNA from 1 species
AAGAUUCGACCUUCGGGUCUAUCUUAUCUUCAGCUGUGCGCUUCGGCUGCACGCUGUUGAACCUCACACACCUGUGCACACUUCGGUUGUGGUUGGUUAACUCCAGUCACUACCGCUUUUACACUUAACUACCAAGUCUAGAAUGUCAAUUACAAUAACUAUAA